UACGGACAAAAUAAGGAGAAAAGUGAUAACUAAGUUAAGACAGGUCCCCUUUACUUUUGUUGAAGUCAGAGAUAGUCUACUACACUUGCCCAUUUGAGGAAAGCACAAUUCCUCAUUUCAUUCACUCUUCAACUUGUGUCAGCAUAUUACAUAUUCUCCUGAAAAUUAGACAUUCUUUCCCUGUCAGAUCCCCAACUUUCUUGGAAUUUUCAGCACCUUAAAUUAACAGUUUCAGUAGAGAAAAAAGAAAGAUUAUGUCUUGUUAAUGGAGUUGGUACCUUAUUCUGACCCCAAGACUGAAUCAAGCAGCUCUAGUCCACCUUGGCAAGAAAUGUUCCGAUCUGCUUCAAUGAAGAAAAAUGACUCACAAUUCAAGAACGAUGGUUCCACACAAACUCCCCCGAAAAUCCCAGAAACCAAAGAGAUAUGAAGAAAAAGGACUCACAAUUCAAGAACGAUGGUUCCACACAAACUCCCCCGAAAAUCCCAGAAACCAAAGAGAAUCAAGAUCACAGUUUUUUAUCAGAGGAAUCUCAGGUAUUGCUGAAGUGUGUGACCGUCUCAUUUAAAAGCUUAAGUUGUUAGAUAGAGUAUACAUUUUUAAUUAUUUAGCUAUAUGAUGUCUCAACGAGUGGCGGACAGUGGCGGAGGCAGGAUUUCCGCUUUGGGGUUCAAAAAAGAAAAAAAUUACAAGAGAUUGUAGCUAGUGGUAAUUUAACCUCCUUGACCACUAAGCUAUGCUUUUGGGCUAUGUAAGGAGAUUCAAAAUAUAAGUUAUAGAGGUAAAAAUCAGAUUUUGCCCUAUAUGCACAGUAUAAUUUUUCGACGAAGGGAGUUCACCCUUCCGCCCCCUAAAUCUGCCCCUGGUGGCGCAGUCACCUUAGUCUAAGGAUUCCGCAAAAAAAUACAUUGUAUAGCCAGCUAAAAAGAUUAUUUUUAUGUAUAUUUAACUUCUUUGUGUGUGUAUAUUUUGACACCCUUUAUGUACAUUGUAUAUUUACUUCUCCUCGCUCCAGUCGGUCGAGUCUCUUUGAAAUUACAUCCCUGCCUCUCGUCUAACUCGAGUUGCCUCUGCCACUGGUCUCCUCACGCCCCUCACGUGCAAAGGCGGA
rnacentral:lncRNA from 1 species